rnacentral:rRNA from 1 species
UGAGUAACCUGCCCUGGACUUUGGGAUAACCCUCGGAAACGGGGGCUAAUACCGGAUAUGACAUGCUCUCGCAUGGGGGUGUGUGAAAAGUUUUUCGGUCUGGGGUGGGCCCGCGGCCUAUCAGCUUGUUGGCGGGGUAACGGCCCACCAAGGCGACGACGGGUAGCCGGCCUGAGAGGGCGACCGGCCACACUGGGACUGAGACACGGCCCAGACUCCUACGGGAGGCAG